AAGGGGCGCCGGGCUGCGGAUUUAGCUCGGUGGUUUGGUCGCCUCCCUGGCAAGUGCAAGGUCCUGAGUCCGAUCCCUGGUACAAAAAAGAAAGUUCUCACACAUAAAAAGGGGCGCCUAGGGUCGGGAUAGAAGGCAGAGUCCGUGCGGGGCCAGUGGUUUUCCUUCCCGCUUUACAGGCAGAGUUGGUCGGCCUACCCCCGGAUGGGCCAAGGCCUUUGAGCCUCUCGCCCUUUCGUUAGAAAGCCUGCGUUCCGGCGCCAGACAAGUUGCCAGCCCUCUACUAGCGGAGAAGUGAAGCCUUCCUGAUGGCCCGCCGAGAGGAUAGGGGACUGACCCGCGAGCGCGCUUUCGAAACUAGCUCUCUCUAGGACCCGGGGACGUCGUCUGCCCAACGCCUAUUCCUAGGCUAGUUCCUGUUUUCUGAGGCUGGAGAGGCGGCCCUGGCCCGGGUGCCGCACCCAGACCAGAAAACCCUCGCACCCCGCGAUCAGGCUUUCUUCCCGUACGGGACCGCCAUGAGACUGCAUCGAAAGUCGGUGCUGUUUCUUUCACGGGUACAGAACACAGGCGCCAGACCAGGAGGGCACCCUGCUGAAGAAGGGAGCCCGAAACGGCAGCUACCAGCGCCGCUGGUUCGUCCUUCGGGGAAACCGCCUCUUCUACCUGGAGCACCAGGCGGACCGCACCCCCCUGGGGCUCAUUCUGCUGGAGAACUGCCAGGUGGAGCCCUGCCGCAAGGCCACAGCACCCUACGCCUUCACCAUCCUGACCGCCCGGCUGGAGGGCACAGGUGGGCGGGCCUACGAGCUGGCUGCGGAGAACCAGGAAGAGCUGAGGACUUGGCUGUGCGCGCUGGCUGGGGUGAGCUGGACGCGGCUGGCUGUGCUGCUGCCCGCCCUGGAAGCCCAGUACCGGGAGCUGUGCCGAGCGGCUGGCCAAGAGCCCAGCCCUCCCCCGAAAGGCUGUGGCUUUCUAGCCACGCUCAGUGCCACAUCCAGCUUCCAAGAGUUGCAUGAGCGUUUAGGGAAGGAGGUCCGGGUGCUGCUGGCAGUGAAUAGAGGGUUCCAGGGGGCCAGUGACCAUAGAGGCAGCGGUUCCCAGGCAGAGGGAACAAGAGUUCAACCAGGGAUUGUUGAUGAGUGACUGAGGGAUGGACUGGCCAGUCAUGGCGGCACACACCUGUUUUCCUGGCACUCAGGAGGCUGAGGCAGGAGGAUCAAGAACUCAAGGCCAGCCAGGACUACAGUUCAGGGCCAGCCUGAUCUACAUAGCAAGACCCUGUCUCAACCCCCCCCCAAAAAAAGAGGGUAGAUGGACCAAGGGCUGAGAUCAUCUAGCUGCCACAACAUCGGACUGGACUGCUUCAACAGAGCCCAGCUCUCUCCCUCCCUAGUUCUUGCUCCCAAAUCCCCCUCAUCAAAUAACAAGGCAGGAGACAGGCCCAGGUACAACA